CUAUUUCGCAACUGCCGGUCGCCGGUCGGUUGCGGGAGCCGUUGUGAUGUGUUUGUCUAAUCGUGUGGUUUUGUGUUUGGUGUAACGAAAUGUGACUUGGUUCGCGAACACAGAAGUGCCAGAAGAUAGCUUGUGUCUCUCUGAAAACUCACCAUAUGCGUGGCGUGCCAGGCAAAUGGGGACCAACGAUUUUCAUGCCCUGGAGUGCGUUCUCUUUUGUGUCUGGUUGUGGGAAGUUCGCUGGACGUCGCAAAGAAAUAAUGUGUAUUAUUAGCGUGCCUCAGCUCGUCCACUACGUCACGGCGUGUAGGCUGGUUGUCGACGCAGCACCAGCAACUUGGAGAGCGCUUUUCGACCGCGUCGUACCAUUCAAAAGUGGCGAGGCCGUAACCCACACCAGUGUCCACAUAAUGGAGGAGCCAGCAGAAAUGCAGGGAAAUCUUGGAUGACUGCCAUAGCGCAGUGUGUAAUCUGAUUGCUUGGUUCAGGUACACCUAGGAAAUGUAUACAUUGAUGAGGAGUGGCACCUGCUCUAGUGCCAUGGCUAGGACUCCGUGUUCUGCAAAGAACUGGCGAAACUGGUGUGGGGAGUUCUGGCACUCAGGAUAGGAGCAUCACAGGGGCUCUUUGGUGGUGCCUUCUGAACGACCGCAAUGUCAUUGAGAAGCCGGCAUUGAGCCUCCAUAAAUUGGAAGCUGUGGACAGUAUCAUCGACAUUGUUUCAAAUUUGUUUGUGUUAUGUUUGUAACAAUACAUGUAUAACAGUGAAAUGAUUAAUUUUCCA